rnacentral:lncRNA from 1 species
UAAGGAAUUUGUGGAAUUAAUGAUAGUAUAGCAACAUAUGGAAUAUUAUACAAUCCACACUUUUUCAUGGAAACACUGCCCUUUAUAUAUUAAGUAUAAUAAUACAGUAUGAGACAGUAUAUAUAGCAUGACCUCGGUUAUGUGAAAGAAGUCUAGGUGUUUAUGCAUAAAUGAGUUUAGAAGGAUACACCUAAACUGUUAAGGGUGGUUAUCUUUUAUUUUGAUUUUACAAUGAACAAAUACUUUUUUUUUUUUUUGCAGUACGCGGGCCUCUCACUGCUGUGGCCUCUCCUGUUGUGGAGCACAGGCUCCGGACGCGCAGGCUCAGUGGCCAUGGCUCACGGGCCCAGCCGCCCCACGGCAUGUGGGAUCCUCCCGGGCCGGGGCACGAACCCGUGUCCCCUGCAUCGGCAGGCGGACUCUCAACCACUGCGCCACCAGGGAAGCCCAACAAAUACUAUUUUUAUAAUCAGAAAAAAAGUUUUCCAUUUUGGAGAUAAAAACUUUAAAUUGUAACAUUCUCCCUUUCUUUUUUUCUUUUUUAUAAUUUUUAUCGGGAUGUAGUUGAUUUACAAUGUUGUGUACAGCAAAAUGAAUCUGUUAUACAUAUACAUAUAUCCACUCUUUUAGAUUCUUUGGUGCCUGCCACCUUCUACCCCAACCUCAUUUCCGUCUGGACCCUCGGCGGACAUGGGUGUGAUUCUGUGCUUUGGCCUGUGUGCCCGGGGCCAGGUGAAGACGGUGCUGAACGUGCUCCACGACUUUGAGGAGAGGAUCCAGGAGUCGGAGCAGUCCUGGCAGAUCGGCGCUUGGCGGAGUGGGACCUGAGGGCUGGAUUUCUUCUACUCAAGGCCUGGAGAGCAUGGGCAACCCUGCCCCUCCUUCCACGAAGGACCAUCCCUGGAGGCAGGAGACAGUGAAGGGUGCCCUCAUGGUGAUGUACAGCUGCGUGGCCUCGUACUGCCACCCGCAGAUGCUCCUAACCACGUGGACAACCCCAUCACUGCUAAGAUCGUUCACCACUACUCCAGCAGCUGCCAGGUAUAACCCCGGGACGCCAUGGACCCACAGUGCCCAGGGGAUGCCCUCUUUGAGCCAGGCUGGCGGAGAGUCGCUCUGCAUCGUUAUCUGGGCACUGCCAGCCCUACCCAGGAGACAGCCAGGAGUCCUACCGGACACCCAGCAUUUGGGAAGCCCAUUGCCCCGAUCUGCGCCAUUCUCUGCUGCAGUGGGAGGGGGGGCAGCCCUCCCGCGAGCACUGGGCGGGAUGCUUGUGGGUCCCUGAAGACAAGCCCUCCACUCUUCCCAGCCCCUCGCACUCCCUCCCUCACCUCUGCCCUCCACCCUGACACCUGACCCAAGCCCUUUCAUAAGGGACAAGAAUGGGCUUGUCUUCAGAGGUGCAAAGGGACUGGCUACUUUCUUGGAAAGGCAAGGAGGAGAAAACACAG